UAAUUGAGAAUGCAGUUUUGUUGUAUGGGAACGUAAUUUGUAGAAGACAGGGCUGAAGAAAGUGUAUCUUUUGUCU